rnacentral:sRNA from 1 species
AAAAACAAAGACGAUAA